UUCAAUUAUUGAUGCUUUCUUUCACCUUUUUACUGCUGUAAACUAGAAGAAUUGAAUCCGACACCUGCCAAGUUAGCGGUAUUGGUAAACCAAUGGGCUGUGAUGAGCUGUUUUCUUCUGCUGAUAAAUGUGAGGCUCAUGCUUGCAGAUGGGUACCAGAUGAGAUCAACAAUGGCAAUGGCUUCCUCCAGGAGGCUCCUUCAAUUUCAUCCUCUUUACUUUCCCUGUGUUUUUUUUUUUUUCCUCUACCUGAUGACUUUGCCCAGUUACAUGUGCAAACUGGGAAUGAAAGAGAGACUGGAAAAGUAGCGUUUGGUUGGAUUGGAAAAGACAACACAAAUCUUGUUUUCCCAAAUCCACCAAUUCCGUAGUCUUCCAAUCAAUCUUUCCUUCUUUCUUUAGCCAUGGUUCGUGCUUCUUGGCUCCUUAACCUUUUUGAUAUGUUAUUAGGCAUGUGGCAGGGGGAAAGAGUCAUUGGAAAAUCCAGGGUGUGUGGCACUGGGAAGAUGCUCUUCCACUCAAAAUACUCAAAGGAAAAUAAGGUAAUUUGGUGAGUGAUCUCUUUCAAAUGAAGGACUGUUAGAAACUAUACAACGCAUUUCAUAUCAUGAACACUACAUUAGUGUUUCAUGAAUCUGCCUCAAAGAUUGGGGUAGAUUCAUGGAACACUGGAAUUCAGUGUUUCAUGAAUCUGCCUCAAUUUUUGGGACAGAUUUAUGAAACACUAAUGCAGUGUUUUUGUUACAAAAAACGGUGUGAUCUCUGGUAGUGCUUUAUUUUAGAAAGGUUGCUCACUAAACCUGAUUUGCCUUCGUGGAAGUUGGGUCGUGAACCCUCCCAAUGCCACCCAUUCCUAACUUUUCUCAUAAUUCUUUCCUUCUACUCCUUGCCAAGAUGGAGGAACCCUGAUGCUGCAAAGGGUGAUAUAGGACUGCUCAAUGGAUUUCCACGGCUCCUAAAAGCCAUUUAGACAUGGAUUUCAACGAAGAUUUGCUGAGUAUAAGAAAAUAGCAGGCUGCUUAAUUUUUAUUUUUAUUUUUAUUUUUUUAUUAAAGAUCAGUUGAUUUUGCACCAUGUUUGAGCAAAGGCUGGCUCUUAGUUAUCUUCUGCGUGGAAAUGAAAACAGAAGAUUGGUGCUUGAGGAUAAAUUUCCGCCAUGUACAUAUCAAAAAUAGGAAAUGUGAGCCAAGAAGCAAACAGAUUUUGAUUGAA